CCUACGGGGGGCAGCAGUGAGGAAUAUUGGUCAAUGGCCGGAAGGCUGAACCAGCCAUGCCGCGUGAAGGUCAGUGCCCUAUGGGCGUUAAACUUCUUUUGUGCGGGAGCAAUAAUGGUCACGUGUGGCCAGACGAGAGUACCGUAAGAAUAAGCAUCGGCUAACUCCGUGCCAGCAGCCGCGGGAAUACGGGUGAUGCAAGCGUUAUCCGGAUUUAUUGGGUUUAAAGGGUGCGUAGGCGGGUAGGUAAGGCAGCGGUGAAAUGCCCCCGCUCAACGGGGUGAAGUGCCAUUGAUACUGCCGUGCUGGAAUGCGGAUGCCGUGGGAGGAAUGUGUGGUGUAGCGGUGAAAUGCAUAGAUAUCACACAGAACACCGAUUGCGAAGGCAUCUCACGAAUCCGCGAUUGACGCUGAUGCACGAAAGCGUGGGUAUCAAACAGGAUUAGAUACCCCUGUAGUC
rnacentral:rRNA from 1 species